UCUAAGGAACAAGGCGGAGUGCGCCGGAUUGCGAUCCGGAAGAGCUUCCUCCAUGUCCUGUGAACAUAAGCCGCCGUCCUCAUGUCCCUUCAUCAUUCUGGAUAUCCAACCAAAAGGUUGGAUGUGCCUGAGCUGGCUUUUGCCGCCUGCGGCCUUUUUGGGUCAGUUCGGGUGAGUGCAGAUGGGCCGGUAGCUCAGGUGGUUAGAGCGCACGCCUGAUAAGCGUGAGGUCGCAAGUUCAACUCUUGCUCGGCCCACCAUCUGCGCGUGAUAGGCUCGCUACUUUCUCAACUUCACGAGUUGGGUAUGGGGCCUUAGCUCAGCUGGGAGAGCGGUUGCUUUGCAAGCAUCAGGUCAUCGGUUCGAUCCCGAUAGGCUCCACCAAUCCGCAGUUUUGGAGACGAUUUAGCGGAGCUAAAUCGCACCAAAACAAGGACGGCCAGCGCUGCAUAGCGCGCCAUAAGGCGCAGCUUUGCUGCGUCUGACGGCGCGCGGCGGUGGGAGGGGAAAGCAAGCACAGCGCUCACCACCAAGCAUCCAGAUGAUGAAGAUCCGAGAUCCGCUGCUUACCGCAGCGGUACGCGGGCCCCAAGGGCCUGCAUGCUGUUUGACAUUGUGAAUGGGUUUUUAGAUCGAUGCCGUGACGGCGUCGGUUGUGCACUGAAAGGUGUGUAGCUGAUGCCGGACUGAGGAUCGUCACCAAGUUUGACCGCUCUGGUGGCACCUCAAACAACAGGCUGAGUGAUUAUCAUCCACACCGAGCAUGCCAAUCGACACUGCUCUUGCCGAGUUUCGUGUCAGUCUUUGGACUGAUCCAGUGUUGUUGUUGGUGGUGUGGACUC
rnacentral:tRNA from 1 species